UGGCUCAGUUGGUAGAGCAUGGUUUUUGCAACGCCAGGGUUGUGGGUUCAAUUCCCAC
rnacentral:tRNA from 1 species